rnacentral:rRNA from 1 species
UACGGAGAGGGCAAGCGUUGUUCGGAUUUAUUGGGCGUAAAGCGAGCGUAGGCGGUAUGGUAAGUCGGAUGUUAAAGACCCACGGCUCACCCGGGGGAAUGCGUCCGAUACUGCCGUACUGGAGUGUGGGAGAGGGAAGUGGAAUUCCUGGUGUAGCGGUGAAAUGCGUAGAUAUCAGGAGGAACACCUGUGGCGAAGGCGGCUUCCUGGCCCAUAACUGACGCUGAAGCUCGAAAGCGUGGGGAGCGAACGGGAUUAGAUACCCCGGUAGUCCACGCUGUAAACGUUGGAUACUAGGUGUUGGAGGUAUUCUACCCCUUCAGUGCCGCAGCUAACGCAUUAAGUAUCCCGCCUGGGGAGUACGAUCGCAAGAUUGAA